CAGCGUUUGUCUGUUGAUGCAAAGGUAUCUUAAUGAAACCAAUGAAAUACCCUGCACAUGGAAAAACUGCACUAAAUGGACAAACUAAAAAUUGACGCCAAGGGCUCCUGACCAAGAGUCAAGGAUUGAGAAAGUGUAAAAAAUGGUCCCCAAUGAGACUGUGUAUUGUGACGCCUGUUUGGUUGCCUUAUAUUUAUCAUUAUUUAAUAUUCUGUUUAUCUAUGAAACAACAAUGUUGAUAAUAACACUAAAACAGCCAUUCUUUCCAUCAGAAAUAGUUAAACUUAAGUAAAAAACAUAAGACAGAGUGACUCGUCAGGUCGAGAUGCAUUGCAUAAGAGAAUGGCCAGCAUGCUGAUGACUGGUCAUACAGAAGCUGAUCAUACAGAUGACCGGCCAUACAGACCGCAUCGUACAGACAGUGAUCACAUCCUGAUGUAACCAAUCGCUCUCCAGCUGGAGGAAGUGCUGCUUUAUAAUCACAGAACAUUCACUCACUAUUAAAAUGAUUCUGGCUGCUAGAAGGGAGAACAUAUCCUACAACAUGAAAAAGUCAAGUCAACAGUUCACAUUGUUCACUCUAAACAAGAAUUUCACUUCAUCAGAAAGUACAGUCCUCAAAAAAAAGUUUCAGGGACCAGCUUUAACGUUUAAACCUGUGAAUUUUGGCUGUCCAUGUUAAAGACUGGAAAUCUGCAUGCAGAAUCUGGAUUGUUGGGACAGCUACAUUGGACGUGGUGAAAAGCGAGCAAGGGAAACCAUGGACACCAAUCUCAGUGUGUCCUCCCAGGUCCAGUGGUUUGGGGUGACCUCCUUCCUUUCUUCCAACAGUGUCUUAAAGAAAGAACUGAACAAAUGAAGAUUAUGCUUUCUUCAAUCGACCCGAGCCACCACUGGAGGAAAGGUGGACAAAGUCAGGAAGUUUGUGAACAAUGUGAUGGCCAAGUUUGUUCUCUGUGUUAAUGGAGCAUUGUCCAACAUCCACACAUAGUGCUUGACAAACCUGAGCUAUAUUUAAAUGAUGAGGUUCAUUUAAGCCCUAAGGGAAAUGAUAUAUAUUUUUUAACUGAUAUUAUCCAGUGUUUGAGAGACCACAGACCAUAAGCCUGAUGCUGGAUUGGUGCAUGUUAUGGGAAAGAAGGUCUCCUGUAUUUUUUUUAAGUACCUGUAAAAGUACCCAGCAGUGUGUUCAACAAAUGCCUGACUUAAUAAAAGUAUUCCCCUGACUUACUGCUAUGAUCUUAUUUUAUUUAUCUAGCAUUUAAAAAUAAAA